ACCUUGUUGCUGGGACGUGAGCUGCGUUUCUCCCCAUCGCUUGACAGCUGCUGAUGCCGUGCUUGCCGAAGCACCAGAUCCUUGGUCGCUCGCUGUCCGACAGUGUCACCCAUGACCACUGCUAUGGCUCCUGUAGAUGCACUGGGUGAUGGUGGAGCAAUGGCUCCCUCUAAUGAUGAUCCCGGGGCUUUAACGGCACCCUGUUUUUCGGAAAGCUCUCCAUCGCCCUCUUGAGGAGCGGCAAACCUGUGCGUGUCCAUCAGGGCUGAAAAACGGCGCCGGGCGCCCAUCGGAGGACUGCAGUCUCCCUCCAUAUACAGAGACUCAGAGCAUGAUAAACGCUUCCUGUGUAAAUAAAAAAGACAAUGACAGGUAAUACGGUAAUUUUGAGAUCGUAUCUUCGUAUGCAGUGAUGUAGGAAUAUAUUCAAACGUACAUCUCAGGGGAGCCCGUCCUCCAGCUCUUGUCCCUCAUAGUGAAGCUUCCCAGACUCUCCCGCUUGGCCAUCUUGUCAUCGCGGCGACCUUUGUGCUCUCGACGGGUGACUACAGGGGUCUUCUGCUCCAGCUGGGACAGGUGCUCCAUGCUGCUAUACACCUGAAAGACAAAGAGCCACACCAAAGGAUGCUUCGUUUACACCUUGCAUGUGGUCUUUGUUCAGCAAGUGGUCCUGAAGAGGGUCACAAAUCUUGAGAAGAACCCUCAGCACAUUCACACCGAAGAAGAUCAGAGGACGUUUAUUAUGUAAGUGUGCAAUUGUGUGCUUAUCUGAAGGCCACUGCUCCACUCAAGUGUUUUUUUAAUGAAUCAUCUACGUUCAAAACAAUCACAGUAAGAUUCCCGCCAUUUCCAGGAAUAGAAUGUAUAUGAACUGGAAGAAGAGAUAAGAAAGAAACAAAAGUGUUUGUUUAACCGGUACAGUCUUAGAUGUGAAUGUAGAUGUGUGGGACAGACUGGGGCUGGUUGUCAGCAGCAAAAAGCUUUUACAUAACUAAUCAAAAAUUAAGUUUACCUAUACGAUGUAUUGUUGGCUAUUGCUACAAAUAUACCUGGUUUUGUGCUCCAGGGUCAGAAGUGCACUAAUGCUUGUGUCUAUACAAAAACAUUUUUUUAAACACACAAUCACUGGAGCAAAAACUGUGAAAACUAGGCCUGGUCUCCUCUGAAAGGAAUGAGAGGAUGCAAUGUGACCUUGAUGACCAUGAAAAAUUAAAUAAAAGAAAGACAAAGGAUUAGUCUUAAUGUGUCGGUUUACACAUUCAAGAGUGUUUCUGAGAAAGAAAGCAUGAAAUAUGGAUGCAGCCAUGUGUCAGACUGACCUUGCUGAAGCGCGGCGAGCAGGAGGAGAACUGUCUUAUCUCUACUGGCUCAUCGUCGUUGGUGUCGUCCUCGUCAUAGGAGUUGAUGUGCUGAUAACGCUCUGACCGCGCUAAAACAGAGGGAGCGUGAGAUGAUGGUGAGAGAUAGAGAGAUGGCGAUCAAGGGCAGACUAAGAAGCAAGUGUGAGUGUCCUCACUGUCGAAAUAGCUGGUGUCCUCCUCAGACUCUAGAUGAGGGAUAAACUCGGCCUUCUGUCGGAGUAAACCAUUCCAGUCCAAUCCCGAGAAAAACGAGUGUUGCUUCACUUCAAACGCUCCACCUGUUCACAAGAGUAAACAGAAGAACAUUUAUAGACAAACAGAUGAACACGCAAUCCUGGCAAGUCAAGGUGUUGUGGCCAUGCAUCGUGGUGCAAAAGCUUUUGUUUUUUACAGGACUAUCCUAAUAUGACAAAAUGUUCAAGUAAUGGUUUUUCAUACAGUUGAAAAAUAAACACAGGGGUUGUAAAUAGUUAAUAGUUACUUUAGUCUUCUAGUGUGGUACAAAGUUUUGCAUGGAUUCAAAUAUGGAGUCAUGGCAAGUCUGAAAAUAUUCAAACUAGUGCUG